AUUGAAGGAUGUCUACUUGUCGAGUUCAUUUCUACUUCGUCUAGACACCAACCCUAAUUUUCUUUAACAAUUUUGUCUGGUUCUGACCUUAACUACUCACAUGACAUUUGACCAUUCGCAAGACUGUCAAAAAAAAAAUCGCGCCAAAAAACUUCUUGUCGCGUUUUAGCAUGUUCUGUGGAAAGUAAGUUUUUUGAAGAAUUUUCCUUUUUUGCAGUUGUGGAAUUUCCUGAUCGGAUCCUGGAACUGCCGCUAAUCGUUGUUGCCGUUCAUUCUGCCUGCUCCUGCUGUGAAAUAUGCAAUCAUCUUCCGGAACCUCCUUGAGGCCGAAGCUGCUGGAUGAAACGAGCUCGUCUGGAGUUGUGGAGCUUCCUGAUCGGAUCCUGGAACUGCCGCCAAUUGUUGUUACCGUCCAUUCCGUCCUCCCUCGCGUCCUCCUGCUGGGAAAUGUGCAAGUAUCUGCCGGAACUCCUUUGAUGCCGAAGCUGCCGGAUGAAUAGCUGCCAAUAUGCUGACGAAAAUCUUGCAGUUCCUAGAGCUUCCGCCUACUAUACAAAUUUUCGGUUUGG